rnacentral:rRNA from 1 species
AAAUUGAAGAGUUUGAUCAUGGCUCAGAUUGAACGCUGGCGGCAGGCCUAACACAUGCAAGUCGAACGGUAACAGGAAACAGCUUGCUGUUUCGCUGACGAGUGGCGGACGGGUGAGUAAUGUCUGGGAAACUGCCUGAUGGAGGGGGAUAACUACUGGAAACGGUAGCUAAUACCGCAUAACGUCGCAAGACCAAAGAGGGGGACCUUCGGACCUCUUGCCAUCGGAUGUGCCCAGAUGGGAUUAGCUAGUAGGUGGGGUAACGGCUCACCUAGGCGACGAUCCCUAGCUGGUCUGAGAGGAUGACCAGCCACACUGGAACUGAGACACGGUCCAGACUCCUACGGGAGGCAGCAGUGGGGAAUAUUGCACAAUGGGCGCAAGCCUGAUGCAGCCAUGC